CGACUUUUUAAAUAUCAAUUAUUAAAAUAUUUUCCUUUGUGUCUAAAUAACUUCCGUUUUAUAACCACGCCGUGAAGACUAUAAUCAAUAGUUUUAUCUUGACUGAAAGCUCCACUGAUGUCGAGGACCAACAGCGCCGACAAAACUAUAAAACCAGCGACAAUAAGAAGACGUAGAAGACUAACGUAGAAAAUGAAAGCAUUUCAGAAAACCCCAAAAACAAAACUGAAGGGGACUCCGUCGAAGACAGUGUCUUCACCAAAAGGAGCGUCUACACCAAAAGAAGCGCUCACACCAAAUGAGUCUAAAACAAAAGAAGAAAUCCUUAAGAGUUUCAAUCAGCAGGCCUGGAAAGAGUAUGACCAGCUGUACGCCGAGUUGCAGUUCUACAGCGAACGUGCCGCAAUGAUGCAUCAAUACGAAGCGUCCAGAUUCGACAGACUAAGCUCUAUCUUGGAAAUUGCUGCUGAGGUAAAUUGUUAGCUACUAAGGUAUCGCCCCUUCCUCCCUUUCAGAUUUUGCCUUUAAGGAGGCAGAGGAUGUGAAGCUCAAUCGUUUCUUCGGACGACGGUCAACAAGGGUUUCAGGUGACCACCUUUACAUCCCAAAGUAUGCCAGGUACACGUUGAAGUGGGAUGGACUCAGGGACGCCAUAAAACUCCAGAAGCUUAAAAAUCUCAGUCUUCAUAGAUCUUCGAAUUCGAGACACUCUCAGUUCGGAAGCCGACCGCUUUACCACUUGGCUAACAUUUCUGAAUUGGGACGACGCCAGGAGAAUGCUGAAGCUCGGAAUGUUAAACUAGAAACGCUACACUUAAUAACUAUAAACAACGCCAACACUAUAACGCCAGAUUCAAGAAUCCAUUUAUUUA
rnacentral:sRNA from 1 species